CUCGGAGAGGGGGGCUGCUCAGCCCAGAUUGUGACAGGGUGCAGGCCAGGCUGAGGGACUCCACUGGUGCAUG
rnacentral:pre_miRNA from 1 species